GGACUGGCCACAUCUGCAGCCCAGAGGUUGAACAAUUUGCUAUAGCCAUAUGAUCACGGCUGCUGUAAAGCAUCCUUUUUUGGCCCACACAGCAUGGUCAUCCUUUCUGAAGACAAGUGCGUAAGUGGGGAAGGACUCUCAAACAACAUUACUGCUUCUGCCCAGCAAUCACCUUUGUGAGCAGAAACAAUUUCUAGCACCUGGGAUGGAAGCACCCUGAGAGUCUCACCUUAAGCUGGAUUUUCCUGGCUUCCAGAAUCCCUCUUGCAGCUGGGAAGCGGGCCCUGGCAAGAGCUAGAACUCCAGUGAUUUUCAGAUUCCUGACCCGUGGCUUGGAGCCAGAAGCUCUAGUUGAAUGGAGCCUAGGCUGUCUGCAUGGUGGAGAUGCCUCAGAGACACGCACUGAGGAAUUCUAGACUUUUAACCAGUCUGUCAUGUGAGCUGGUAGGAAGCUAGGCUAGUUUUCAUUGGACCACUGCCUCCGAGUCAUCAAAAGUCUUGAUGAAUUGGCAUCUGCUGCUGGAAAACCUGUUUUGUUAGGAAAUUCCCAACCAGCUGGAGUUAAGAGGACCAGAUUUUGCAGCUGUUUUGUAUCCUCCUACUAAUAAAAAUAUAAGCAGAAUCUCUCGCUUUGUUAUUUUCUAGAAAUAAAAAUGAACAUGUGUGGAUGUGAGACUUCUGUUCCAGUUAUGGAAAUUAUUACCAGGAAUCCAGGGGAAAGCAGUUCCUUUUUACCAUUUGAUCCAUCAUGCUCCAUCUCAAUUAGCAGUUCUGGGCUCAGUGCAAGAAUCAGCUGGUGAAAGGCGAUAGUCUACCACGAACGGGAAUUCAGAGUAGAGCCGAGUGGGUGAACUUACAACUAGAAGAAAUGAAAUGAAUGCA